ensembl:lncRNA
GAUUUAUUCAGAUCAACACCAAACUUUGUCAGUGUAAUCUAAAGGCCUUUGCGAUGUUAAAUUGCGAAGAUCUUGAGGUUUCGUUUAAGGGCGUGUCUGUGGCGGCCUUACAAAUUUCGAUGUUUCGCCAUGAGAAAGGAAGUUGCUAUAACUCAGACAUACAAUGUCCAAUCUGCCCCAAACUUCACAUGUUUGAGAAGACUCCUGACCUGAAUAUAUCUACAUGCCAAUAUUCAGAUAUCGCUAUAGCGCCACCUGCUGGCAACAGGAAGUGACAUGUUUUACGCCCUAACAAACUACUCCUAGAUAUUUUAUGACAUUUUAUACUUUUUUUUGGUCAGUCUAAUCUAAAGGCCAUUGCGAUGUUAAAUUGUGAACAUCUUGAGGUUUCAUUAAAGGGUGUGGACAUGGCGCCAUGACAAAGUUUGAUGUCUCGCCAUGGGAAUAGAAGUUGCUGUAACUCAGGCAUAAGACGUCCGAUCUUCCCCAAACUUCACAUGUUCGAAAAGAGUCUUGGCCUGAACACAUCUGAAGGUCAAUAUUCCACUAUAAUCAUAGCGCCACCUGCUGGCAACAGGAAAUGUCUUGUUUUACACUAACUUAAACAUGCAAUGUCCAAUCUGCACCAAAAUUCAAAUAUUUGGAAAGAGUCAUGGCCUGAAGAUAUCUAAAGGCCAAUAUUCAGUUAUAAUCAUAGCGCCACCUGUUGGCAAUAGGACACCUCAUGCCUUAUAUUAACCUCAAACAUUCCAUGUUCAAUCUGCACUAAAUUUCAUAUGCUUGAUAAAAGUGCUGGACUGAAGAAAUCUACAUGCCAAAAUCCAGUUAUAGUCAUAGCGCCACCAGCUGGCAGCAGGAAGAUUGGCACAUAUAAAUGACUUUGACAUAUUUCUCUUAUAUUUACCACAUUAAACGCAUAUAUCUCGCCGUUCACUGUUUUACAAAAGCCACCCGGUGGUGGUGAGCCC